rnacentral:misc_RNA from 1 species
GAUGAAGAACGUAGCGAAAUGCGAUAAGUAAUGUGAAUUGCAGAAUUCAGUGAAUCAUCGAAUCUUUGAACGCAUCUUGCGCUCCUUGGUAUUCUGAGGAGCAUGCCUGUUUGAGUGUCAUUAAAUUCUCAACUACACUGACUUUGAAUUGGUGUGGCUUGGAUUUGGGGGGAAAAUUGUUGUGGACUUUUUUGUAUAGUCUGCUCCCCUGAAAUUGAUUAGCGGUACCUUUGUGGAACUGUCUACAGGUGUGAUAAUUAUCUACAUCCUAGACAUCUGCUGGAAUGCUGCUUUCUAAACCUUACUUGUAUUGACAAUCUUGACCUCAAAUCAGGUAGGACUACCCGCUGAACUUAAGCAUAUCAAUAAGCGGAGGA